GACGAACGCUGGCGGCGUGCUUAACACAUGCAAGUCGAACGGAAAGGCCCUGCUUUUGUGGGGUGCUCGAGUGGCGAACGGGUGAGUAACACGUGAGUAACCUGCCCUUGACUUUGGGAUAACUUCAGGAAACUGGGGCUAAUACCGGAUAGGAGCUCCUGCUGCAUGGUGGGGGUUGGAAAGUUUCGGCGGUUGGGGAUGGACUCGCGGCUUAUCAGCUGGUUGGUGGGGUAGUGGCUUACCAAGGCUUUGACGGGUAGCCGGCCUGAGAGGGUGACCGGCCACAUUGGGACUGAGAUACGGCCCAGACUCCUACGGGAGGCAGCAGUGGGGAAUAUUGCACAAUGGGCGGAAGCCUGAUGCAGCAACGCCGCGUGCGGGAUGACGGCCUUCGGGUUGUAAACCGCUUUCGCCUGUGACGAAGCGUGAGUGACGGUAAUGGGUAAAGAGGCACCGGCUAACUACGUGCCAGCCGCCGCAGUAA
rnacentral:rRNA from 1 species